GCCAGAGUGGUUUAGUGGUUGGUGUGUUGGAUUACAACUCUGGAGACCAGGGUUCAAAUCCCAGCUCAGCCA
rnacentral:tRNA from 1 species